GAGAGAGAGAGAGGCAGGCAGAUCCUUAAGCCAACUUCAUCAAAUAAAACCAGAACUAGACAGAGGCAUAGAGCAGCAGAGGGCCCAGGAGCAGAGGACAGCGUGUACUCUCGCCACCCACACUGGACACCCAAUGCCCCAAGUGUCACAACAACCCUCACAUGUAACAACCAUCUGACCCUAGAGUUUGAAAGCUGAGCAGAGAGAUUACGAAUUGCCCCAGUUCUCAGUUGGCCAAUGAGGAAGGGGACCAAGAUGAGGAGCAUCUUAAUCCCACAGCCUUCGCUCUUUGCCACCACGAAGAAAAUGAAAGCUAGCUGGAAAAACCAAACACUGACCAGUGCGAAGAGAGCCUGGCAACAAGCAGUGGCUGAGUGUGGCACGGUCAAUGCAGACAAGCUCCAUCUCCAUCACCCAUGCAGCCCGCCAUUUUCUGCAUCUGGACACUGGUGCAUCCUCUGUCGGGACAAGCGGACUGACUGUGCCCUUCCGGUUGGUAUACUCCCAGUCGUGGCUGAGGCGAACAACUGAGGUGAUACAAUGUGUGAAAACGAACAACUGAGGUGAUACAAUGUGUGAAAACGGGGCUAAUGAUGGCCACAGGAACACUUGCUCCCUCAUUAACCCCCUCCCACUCGCACAGAGCUUUCACAUACACUGAUCUCAGGAUCAUCUCACUACCAAAGAGUGUAGCAUCCAACCAUGUAGAAAAGGAGGAGGAAAUCCCAAGCCAAGUGCUAGAAAAAAAGAAAAAACAAUAAAGUGGGCUGGUGUGGUGACUCAGCAGAUAAAGCACUUAUUGCCAAACCCAAUGACCCGGGUUGGAUUCCAGAUCCACUUGAUAGAGGGCGGGAACCAACUCUGGCAAACGAUCCUCUGACUUCCACAAACGCACAUGAACACGCAUGCACAAGCAUGCACACGCAUUCACGUACGUACACCAUGUAUUUAUGUUAAAAUACAAUAAAAAAGGGGCAAUUUUUUAAAAAAAAAAUCCGGGACCUUGGUUGCUUAUUUUGUUACCAAAAAAUAAAUAAAUGCAUAAAUAAAAAUGCAAUGUCAUACAUUUUGAAGGACCAGGAAACAAAAUGUAUCAUAAUUCCAAACCAAUUCCCAAAUAUUUUCUUUUAAGGAAGAAAGUAGAAUAAAAAACAAAAACUGCAUAAACAAGACGCUAUUUGCAUUUUUACAUUACAAGCCUAGUUCUAAAGUUAACCUUCAGGAACAUAGUAAAUAAAGUAGGAGCUAAAAAAUCAAUCUCAAAGAAACAUACUUAUAAAAGAAUGAGGCACGUACAGAUUUAAUGGCCCUGCACUAAAUGUUCCUCCUGAACUUUAAAGCUCCCUGUCAUUCAGACUCAGAGUAACGCAGGGAACCCUCCUCAGAAAUGACUGUGGUGUCCUCUGAAUCACUACCACUACAGGAGAAAACCCCAGGAAGUGGUUUGAUUACGUGGCUGGACCAGUGCGUAGGAAUCAGCUGAUGUCUCCCAUGCUUCCAGUCGUUAAUGAUGGGGACACAGUGAAACCAGGAAUAACCUCUCUUAUCUUCCGUAGUUCGAGAGAGCUUUUCUAACCCAGUGAGUAUAAACCUGGGAACAAGUCAGUGGUUAAUUAUUUACUGACGGCUUGGUAAUUAAUCUGCUCUGGACCAAAUUUUACCAAACCUGAGUAGCACAAGGAACGUCCAAUGUCAGAGACAAUGAGGCUUUGAAAGCACUCCCAUAAAGCAAUGAUUUUCCCUAAACAGUUGUGACUAACUAAAAACAAAGGUUAAGCCAGACAGCUGCUAGCAAGAGAAAGAGAAUCGAGCGAGAGAAUGAGAAGAAAUAACUAAUCAAAAAGAACAGUGGCGAGUGGUUUCUCUGUAAAAUAGGAAUUGGCGCAUCUUGUUCUGCUGUAGCAAAAAAAAAAAA
rnacentral:sRNA from 1 species